GAUGAACGCUGGCGGCGUGCUUAACACAUGCAAGUCGAACGAAGAUGCCGGAGUGCUUGCACUUUGGCAGACUGAGUGGCGGACGGGUGAGUAACGCGUGGGUAACCUGCCUUAUACAGGGGGAUAACAGUUGGAAACGACUGCUAAUACCGCAUAAGCGCACGGUAUCGCAUGAUACAGUGUGAAAAACUCCGGUGGUAUAAGAUGGACCCGCGUCUGAUUAGCUUGUUGGUGAGGUAACGGCCCACCAAGGCGACGAUCAGUAGCCGGCCUGAGAGGGUGAACGGCCACAUUGGGACUGAGACACGGCCCAAACUCCUACGGGAGGCAGCAGUGGGGGAUAUUGCACAAUGGGGGAAACCCUGAUGCAGCGACGCCGCGUGGAGGAAGAAGGUUUUCGGAUUGUAAACUCCUGUCGUUAGGGACGAUAAUGACGGUACCUAACAAGAAAGCACCGGCUAACUACGUG
rnacentral:rRNA from 1 species